rnacentral:rRNA from 1 species
AUUGAACGCUGGCGGCAUGCUUUACACAUGCAAGUCGAACGGCAGCGCGGGCUUCGGCCUGGCGGCGAGUGGCGAACGGGUGAGUAAUGCAUCGGAACGUGCCCAGUAGUGGGGGAUAGCCCGGCGAAAGCCGGAUUAAUACCGCAUACGACCUGAGGGUGAAAGCGGGGGACCGAAAGGCCUCGCGCUAUUGGAGCGGCCGAUGUCGGAUUAGCUAGUUGGUGGGGUAAAGGCUUACCAAGGCGACGAUCCGUAGCUGGUCUGAGAGGACGACCAGCCACACUGGGACUGAGACACGGCCCAGACUCCUACGGGAGGCAGCAGUGGGGAACUUUGGACAAUGGGGGCAACCCUGAUCCAGCCAUGCCGCGUGCGGGAAGAAGGCCUUCGGGUUGUAAACCGCUUUUGUUCGGGAAGAAAUCCUCUGGGCUAAUACCCCGGGGGGAUGACGGCACCGGAAGAAUAAGCACCGGCUAACUACGUG